UACCACUGAACUGUUUAAUAUUCUAGAAUUUAUGUUACACAGUAAAAGACAGACAACUCUGUCUGCAGUUCUGGGACUGGGAUAUGCCUGUGCAUACACGCAUCUGCUCUGUUUUGGUUUCACUUCACUUUAGUUAUUUGAUUUGGUGUCUGCAAAACCCUGUGUGCACAUUUUUAUGAGCCUUGGGACAAUUUACUGCCAAGCUUGCUUGAACUCUAAAAUAUGCCUCCAGUUUUGGAAAACCACAAAUUAUUUACCAAGGAGGCAAGGAAAUGGAGGUCACUGGGCUCAUUUCUUACAUAAUUUUCAACUUCCUUUUUGAGGCCUGACAUCUCCCGGCAGUCACAGUGAUGUCUUCCUUAGAUAGAUUCAAUACUGGGGAAGAACAGGUGAAAAGUGGUGAAAGUUGCUAAAUGCUGUGUUCCUCUGCUUGCUUUUCAUGCUGGGUGCCAGGAAUCAAAGCUGCAGGAGUGGAAGAGAUACAGGGAGUCCACAGAGCCUCCCCUGCAAGCAUCAGUACAGAGGUUGAUGAUAAUCUGGAUGCAAGUCCAGGAGUGUGGGGUCCACGACUCAGAAGACCUGCAUCUAAGGAAUUGGCUGUCCUUAUCCUUAAGUAUGAUGACUAUAUUUCCAAUUCCAGUAGACCCUUUGAUGUAUUCUGAAUAAAUAUUCCUUUUGGAAU